UUAAGCGACUAAGCGUACACGGUGGAUGCCCUGGCAGUCAGAGGCGAUGAAGGACGUGCUAAUCUGCGAUAAGCGUCGGUGAGGUGAUAUGAACCGUUAUAACCGGCGAUUUCCGAAUGGGGAAACCCAGUGUGUUUCGACACACUAUCAUUAACUGAAUCCAUAGGUUAAUGAGGCGAACCGGGGGAACUGAAACAUCUAAGUACCCCGAGGAAAAGAAAUCAACCGAGAUUCCCCCAGUAGCGGCGAGCGAACGGGGAGGAGCCCAGAGCCUGAAUCAGUGUGUGUGUUAGUGGAAGCGUCUGGAAAGGCGCGCGAUACAGGGUGACAGCCCCGUACACAAAAAUGCACAUGCUGUGAGCUCGAUGAGUAGGGCGGGACACGUGGUAUCCUGUCUGAAUAUGGGGGGACCAUCCUCCAAGGCUAAAUACUCCUGACUGACCGAUAGUGAACCAGUACCGUGAGGGAAAGGCGAAAAGAACCCCGGCGAGGGGAGUGAAAAAGAACCUGAAACCGUGUACGUACAAGCAGUGGGAGCCUCUUAAUGGGGUGACUGCGUACCUUUUGUAUAAUGGGUCAGCGACUUAUAUUCUGUAGCAAGGUUAACCGAAUAGGGGAGCCGAAGGGAAACCGAGUCUUAACUGGGCGUUAAGUUGCAGGGUAUAGACCCGAAACCCGGUGAUCUAGCCAUGGGCAGGUUGAAGGUUGGGUAACACUAACUGGAGGACCGAACCGACUAAUGUUGAAAAAUUAGCGGAUGACUUGUGGCUGGGGGUGAAAGGCCAAUCAAACCGGGAGAUAGCUGGUUCUCCCCGAAAGCUAUUUAGGUAGCGCCUCGUGAAUUCAUCUCCGGGGGUAGAGCACUGUUUCGGCAAGGGGGUCAUCCCGACUUACCAACCCGAUGCAAACUGCGAAUACCGGAGAAUGUUAUCACGGGAGACACACGGCGGGUGCUAACGUCCGUCGUGAAGAGGGAAACAACCCAGACCGCCAGCUAAGGUCCCAAAGUCAUGGUUAAGUGGGAAACGAUGUGGGAAGGCCCAGACAGCCAGGAUGUUGGCUUAGAAGCAGCCAUCAUUUAAAGAAAGCGUAAUAGCUCACUGGUCGAGUCGGCCUGCGCGGAAGAUGUAACGGGGCUAAACCAUGCACCGAAGCUGCGGCAGCGACACUAUGUGUUGUUGGGUAGGGGAGCGUUCUGUAAGCCUGUGAAGGUGGCCUGUGAGGGUUGCUGGAGGUAUCAGAAGUGCGAAUGCUGACAUAAGUAACGAUAAAGCGGGUGAAAAGCCCGCUCGCCGGAAGACCAAGGGUUCCUGUCCAACGUUAAUCGGGGCAGGGUGAGUCGACCCCUAAGGCGAGGCCGAAAGGCGUAGUCGAUGGGAAACAGGUUAAUAUUCCUGUACUUGGUGUUACUGCGAAGGGGGGACGGAGAAGGCUAUGUUGGCCGGGCGACGGUUGUCCCGGUUUAAGCGUGUAGGCUGGUUUUCCAGGCAAAUCCGGAAAACCAAGGCUGAGGCGUGAUGACGAGGCACUACGGUGCUGAAGUGACAAAUGCCCUGCUUCCAGGAAAAGCCUCUAAGCAUCAGGUAACAUCAAAUCGUACCCCAAACCGACACAGGUGGUCAGGUAGAGAAUACCAAGGCGCUUGAGAGAACUCGGGUGAAGGAACUAGGCAAAAUGGUGCCGUAACUUCGGGAGAAGGCACGCUGAUAUGUAGGUGAAGCGACUUGCUCGUGGAGCUGAAAUCAGUCGAAGAUACCAGCUGGCUGCAACUGUUUAUUAAAAACACAGCACUGUGCAAACACGAAAGUGGACGUAUACGGUGUGACGCCUGCCCGGUGCCGGAAGGUUAAUUGAUGGGGUUAGCGGUAACGCGAAGCUCUUGAUCGAAGCCCCGGUAAACGGCGGCCGUAACUAUAACGGUCCUAAGGUAGCGAAAUUCCUUGUCGGGUAAGUUCCGACCUGCACGAAUGGCGUAAUGAUGGCCAGGCUGUCUCCACCCGAGACUCAGUGAAAUUGAACUCGCUGUGAAGAUGCAGUGUACCCGCGGCAAGACGGAAAGACCCCGUGAACCUUUACUAUAGCUUGACACUGAACAUUGAGCCUUGAUGUGUAGGAUAGGUGGGAGGCUUUGAAGUGUGGACGCCAGUCUGCAUGGAGCCGACCUUGAAAUACCACCCUUUAAUGUUUGAUGUUCUAACGUUGGCCCCUAAUCGGGGUUGCGGACAGUGUCUGGUGGGUAGUUUGACUGGGGCGGUCUCCUCCUAAAGAGUAACGGAGGAGCACGAAGGUUGGCUAAUCCUGGUCGGACAUCAGGAGGUUAGUGCAAUGGCAUAAGCCAGCUUGACUGCGAGCGUGACGGCGCGAGCAGGUGCGAAAGCAGGUCAUAGUGAUCCGGUGGUUCUGAAUGGAAGGGCCAUCGCUCAACGGAUAAAAGGUACUCCGGGGAUAACAGGCUGAUACCGCCCAAGAGUUCAUAUCGACGGCGGUGUUUGGCACCUCGAUGUCGGCUCAUCACAUCCUGGGGCUGAAGUAGGUCCCAAGGGUAUGGCUGUUCGCCAUUUAAAGUGGUACGCGAGCUGGGUUUAGAACGUCGUGAGACAGUUCGGUCCCUAUCUGCCGUGGGCGCUGGAGAACUGAGGGGGGCUGCUCCUAGUACGAGAGGACCGGAGUGGACGCAUCACUGGUGUUCGGGUUGUCAUGCCAAUGGCACUGCCCGGUAGCUAAAUGCGGAAGAGAUAAGUGCUGAAAGCAUCUAAGCACGAAACUUGCCCCGAGAUGAGUUCUCCCUGAGACUUAGAGUCUCCUGAAGGAACGUUGAAGACGACGACGUUGAUAGGCCGGGUGUGUAAGCGCAGCGAUGCGUUGAGCUAACCGGUACUAAUGAACCGUGAGGCUUAACCUU
rnacentral:rRNA from 22 species